GUCAGUGUGGUUUAAUGGUUUGGGUGUUGGACUAGGACUCUGAGACCAGGGUUCAAAUCCCUCUUAGCCA
rnacentral:tRNA from 1 species